GACGAACGCCGGCGGCGUGCCUAAUACAUGCAAGUCGAGCGGACAGAAGGGAGCUUGCUCCCGGAAGUUAGCGGCGGACGGGUGAGUAACACGUGGGCAACCUACCCUGUAGAUCGGGAUAACAUCGAGAAAUCGGUGCUAAUACCGGAUAAUCAUUUGAAGUGCAUGCUUCGAAUGUAAAAGAUGGCUCCGGCUAUCACUACGGGAUGGGCCCGCGGCGCAUUAGCUAGUUGGUAAGGUAAUGGCUUACCAAGGCAACGAUGCGUAGCCGACCUGAGGGGGGGAUCGGCCACACUGGGACUGAGACACGGCCCAGGCUCCUACGGGAGGCAGCAAUAGGGAAUCUUCCGAAAUGGACGAAAGUCUGACGGAGCAACGCCGCGUGAGUGAUGAAGGUUUUCGGAUCGUAAAGCUCUGUUGUUAGGGAAGAACAAGUGCCGUUUGAAUAAGGCGGCACCUUGACGGUACCUAACCAGAAAGCCACGGCUAACUACGUGCCAGCAGCCGCGGUAACAC
rnacentral:rRNA from 1 species